GACGUAGGGGGCCAGCGUUGUUCGGAAUUACUGGGUGUAAAGGGUUCGUAGGCGGUGUAGCAAGUCGGGUGUGAAAUCUCUGGGCUUAACCCAGAGGCUGCUUCCGAAACUGCUGUGCUUGAGUGUGGGAGAGGCGCGUGGAAUUGCAGGUGUAGCGGUGAAAUGCGUAGAUAUCUGCAGGAACACCCGUGGCGAAAGCGGCGCGCUGGACCACUACUGACGCUGAGGAACGAAAGCUAGGGGAGCAAACAGG
rnacentral:rRNA from 1 species